ensembl:snRNA U1 U1 spliceosomal RNA
AAACUUACCUGGCACAGGAUAUACCAUGAUCACAAAGGCGGGGCUUAUCCAUUGCACUCUGGAUGUGCUGACUCCUGCAAUUUCCCCAAAUGUGAGAAACUCAAUUACAUAAUUUGUGGUAGUGGGGGACUACAUUCGCGUUGUCUCCUG